rnacentral:rRNA from 1 species
UACAGGGGGUGCAACCGUUGCUCGGAAUCAUUGGGCGUAAAGCGCACGUAGGCGGUUCGUUAUGUCGGAUGUGAAAGCCCUUGGCUUAACCGAGGAAGUGCAUCCGAAACUGGCGAGCUAGAGUACUAAAGAGGAUCGCGGAAUUCCCGGUGUAGAGGUGAAAUUCGUAGAUAUCGGGAGGAACACCGGUGGCGAAGGCGGCGAUCUGGGUAGAUACUGACGCUGAGGCACGAAAGCGUGGGGAGCAAACAGG